rnacentral:rRNA from 1 species
UACGGAGGGUGCAAGCGUUAUCCGGAUUUACUGGGUUUAAAGGGUGCGUAGGUGGGCAGGAAAGUCAGUGGUGAAAUCUCCGGGCUUAACCCGGAAACAGCCAUUGAUACUAUUUGUCUUGAAUACUUUGGAGGUAAGCGGAAUAUGUCAUGUAGCGGUGAAAUGCUUAGAUAUGACAUAGAACGCCCAUUGCGAAGGCAGCUCGCUACACUAUUAUUGACGCUGAGGCACGAAAGCGUGGGGAUCAAACAGG